ACGAUAGUCCCAGUGACUGACCAUCACAGCCUCCCAUAGAAUAGACACAGCAUGCAUAGGGGCAAUGCAAUUUCCCCCCCUAGUGAGCCAGUCAAUGUGCCUCAACCCUGACAUGGAAGGACCACUUCUGGGGAUGGGAGACUUUUUCAGUUCCUCUGUGCCCAUUCGAAAUCCUUGGCCUCU
rnacentral:sRNA from 1 species